AUGAUAUCACCUGUGCCUGGCUUGUUAGUGUGUGUGUGUGCAUAUAAGACCUGCAUUUAUUUGUAUCCUUGCUCAGUCUUGAAGUUCUUUUGUUCAGACAGAUCCUUUGGCCUAUGUUUGGAUUUCUUUGAGAGACUUUUUACUCAGAACUUUGACCUGCUUAUUUGGAAGUUUUUAUUUGUUUUUUUGGACCUUUUGCCUUGUGGAUCUGUACCUUCUUCAGCCCUGCUUCUGAGGUUAAUUUUUUAUGUUUAUUCAAGAAGGACACUAAGUAAAGACUGUUUGUUUUUCUCCAAUCCUGCCUUGUGUGGUUCUCUGCAAAUUGGGUCUACACUGCUCUGUGGAGUAGUGGCUAGAACAUUGGGUUACCAGCAACACAUUCUGAGUUCUAGCCCCGGUCGUGACAAUUAGACGUUAGCCAUUUAGAUAUUUAUAAGAAACUGAAAAAAAGCACAAAUGUCAGGGCAUGACAAAACUUCUCCAGGCCCCAAAAAUACCCUUAGACUCCAGAGGGUUAAUCCGGCCACUGUCAGCGAUCUCAUGACCACCUGCAGAUGCUGCAUAUGAUGCUGCCAAUCAUUACUAUAAAUGAUUAUGUCAUCCAAAUAUGCAGCGCCAUACGCAGCCUGUGGCCGGUGUAUUCGUUCCAUGAGAUGCUGAAAAGUUGCCAGAGACCCAAACAACCCGAAAGGAAGUGUAACAAAUUAGUGUAACCCAAACGGCGUGGUGAAAGCAGUUUUCUCUUUGGAUGGUGGUGAUAAGGGGAUAUGCCAAUAUCCUUUCGUUAAAUCCAAUGUCAAGUAAAAUCGAGCUGUACCAAGCCGAUCAAGCAAUUCAUCAACCUGCGGCAUUGGGUAUGCGUCGAAUUUCGACACAGCAUUCACCUUGCGAUAAUCCACACAGAAUCGGACAGAGCCAUCCGUUUUAGGCACCAAAACUAUCGGGCUCGCCCAAUCACAUUUGAAUUCCUCUAUUACUCCUAUAUCUAGCAUCACCUCAGAUUCAGUCUGAACUACCUUUUUUUGUGCUCAGGCAAUCUCAAUAUGGUGCUGAAUGAGGUUUGUUCGGCCAGGUAGGGGCGAGAACACAUCCGCAAAUUCUGCUUGUAAUUUGGCCACAUCAGUGAUCUGGGAGGGCGAGAGAUUGUUUCUUAGAGCUCACUUCUGGCUCGAGAUCUUCCUCUCCAAUCACUGCCAUCACAAGCAUCACUGAUUCUGCCUCACUCCAUUUUUUUUAAGGAGAUUGAGGUGGUAAAUCUGAUCUCCUGUCUUAAUUGAGAUCUCCAACUUGUUGUGUGACCUCGAAGGACCCUUGACACUUAGCUAGUAAUUUAGAACUAGAAGUUGGGAGUAAUAAAAGCACUUUAUCUCCCA
ensembl:lncRNA